rnacentral:rRNA from 1 species
UACGAGGGGGGCAAGCGUUGUUCGGAAUUAUUGGGCGUAAAGGGCGCGUAGGCGGUGCGGUAAGUCUGAUGUGAAAUCUCCGGGCUCAACUCGGAGUCUGCAUCAGAAACUGCCGUGCUCGAGUGUGGGAGAGGUGAGUGGAAUUCCCGGUGUAGCGGUGAAAUGCGUAGAUAUUCGCAAGAACACCAGUGGCGAAGGCGGCUCACUGGCCCGGAACUGACGCUGAGACGCGAAAGCGUGGGGAGCGAACAGG